rnacentral:rRNA from 1 species
AGUGAACGCUGGCGGCAGGCCUAACACAUGCAAGUCGAACGGCAGCACAAGAGAGCUUGCUCUCUGGGUGGCGAGUGGCGGACGGGUGAGGAAUGCAUCGGAAUCUGCCCAUUUGUGGGGGAUAACCUCGGGAAACCGGGACUAAUACCGCAUACGACCUACUGGUGAAAGCAGGGGAUCUUCGGACCUUGCGCAGAUGGAUGAGCCGAUGCCGGAUUAGCUAGUUGGAGGGGUAAAGGCCCACCAAGGCGACGAUCCGUAGCUGGUCUGAGAGGAUGAUAGGCCACACUGGGACUGGGACACGGCCCAGACUCCUACGGGAGGCAGCAGUGGGGAAUAUUGGACAAUGGGCGCAAGCAUGAUCCAGCCAUGCCGCGUGUGUGAAGAAGGCCUUCGGGUUGUAAAGCACUUUUGUUGGGAAAGAAAAGCAGCCGGUUAAUACCCGGUUGUCAUGACGGUACCCAAAGAAUAAGCACCGGCUAACUUCGUG